rnacentral:rRNA from 1 species
UACAGAGGGUGCAAACGUUGUUCGGAUUUACUGGGCGUAAAGCGUGCGCAGGCGGUUUUGUAAGCCAGAUGUGAAAUCCCCGGGCUCAACCUGGGAAUGGCAUUUGGGACUGCAAGGCUGGAGUACGGCAGAGGAGACUGGAAUUCCGUGGUGUAGCAGAUGAAUGCGUAGAUAUCAGGAGGAAUACCGAUGGCGAAGGCAGGUCUCUGGGCUGAUACUGACGCUCAUGCACGAAAGCGUGGGGAGCAAACAGG